UUAUUUCGAAAUACGUUGCGAUGAGAGUCUCCUCAAUUCCACCAAGCCAGUUUAUGGCAAAAACUUAAAUAUCUCAAAUAUAUCAAUACUCGACGGAGAUAUGAUAACCGAAAUCUUCAUAGCCAGCGAUUGUCCAGAUAGGGAAUCUCCUAAUUUAUUCUCGACAGCUUACUUGGGAAAAUUCACCUUCUCUAAUACAAAAAACAGGUUCGUUGGUAUGGGUUGCAAUACCUGGGCGUAUCUAAAACCAGAUGGUAAUAGAUCUAUUAGUGCCGGAUGUUUGUCAGUCUGUGAUAAAAUAGAAGAUAGCACUGAUGGGUCUUGCAAUGGUGUCGGUUGUUGCCAGGCCUCCGUCCCAGCUGGACUUCAAAAUUUAAACUACAGUGUUGGAAGCAUGUCUAAUACCGUGGUGAUUGAAUGGACCGUUGGUUUCCAGACAUGCAAUGAAGCUAAAAGAAACUCGACGUUUUAUGCCUGUGGACCUAACACUGACUGUACAGUACCUGCAGGCGAUAGUACUCAAGGUUAUCGGUGUAACUGUAAAAAUGGCUAUAGAGGAAAUCCUUAUCUGAACAGCAGUACUGCUGGUGGAUGUCAAGGUAUCGAUGAAUGUAACGAGCUAGAGGUAUGUAAGGGAGAUAGAGGUAGUUGCAAAAACACAGAAGGAAGCUACAACUGUUCUUGCAACAAGGGAUAUAGUAUUGAUAUCAGAAAUAAUAUUACAGAUUGCUUUCUCGAGAGUCAGAGCGAUCUUCCCGAGAGUCGGAGUACUCAGAAUAAUAAUAACGUCAACAAGAUUGUUGUUGGGGCCUGCCUUAGCUUAUUUAUUCUACUUGUGAGUCUUGUGACUGGCUUCUGGAUAUAAUGGGGAUACAGGAAAAAAAAGCACAUGGAACUCAAGGAGGAAUUCUUCAAAAAAAUGGCGAAUGGAUAUAAAUGGAGAUCAUGCUUUGCAUUGGGCUAGUGAUGUUGGCCUCAAAUUCCGACAUGAUUUGGUUCGUGAUGUUCUUGCGGAUAUAUGUUACACGACGGGUGUGCCAGCACGCAAAGAAGUGGCGUUAGGUUUCUUGUCUGAUGAUGGUAGUGCUUUACUUCCAUUCGAUAUCCUAGUCUACAAUUAGGAAAGCAGUCAAGAUGUUUGUAUGGAUGUUACGGGAGUCUCGCCUUUCACAGGAGGUGGUGUGAGUGCCUUCACCCCUAGGCAGGCUAUUUCCAAGGCUGUGAUGCGUAAGCGCAACAAAUAUUUGGAAAAAUGUGUUGAACAUGGGUAUGGGCUCGAUGUGCUUGCUUUCACUAUCUUAGGUGACUUGGGCGAAGAUACAACGACCUUUUUGAAGAGGCUGAAGAAUUGUUUAGUUAACAAUGAUGCUGCUAGUGGUUUAGGCAGUUUUAUUUUUCAUAAAGUGGGUGUUGGUAUUCAAAAGGGUGUUGGUGCAUAACUUGUAGCUAGGUUACCAACUCAUCCAUUGUACACAUAAUAAUUUUAUUAAAA